rnacentral:rRNA from 1 species
GGGUGAGUAACACGUAUCCAACCUGCCGAUAACUCCGGGAUAGCCUUUCGAAAGAAAGAUUAAUACCGGAUAGCAUACGAAUAUCGCAUGAUAUUUUUAUUAAAGAAUUUCGGUUAUCGAUGGGGAUGCGUUCCAUUAGUUUGUUGGCGGGGUAACGGCCCACCAAGACUACGAUGGAUAGGGGUUCUGAGAGGAAGGUCCCCCACAUUGGAACUGAGACACGGUCCAAACUCCUACGGGAGGCAGCAGUGAGGAAUAUUGGUCAAUGGGCGAGAGCCUGAACCAGCCAAGUAGCGUGAAGGAUGAAGGCUCUAUGGGUCGUAAACUUCUUUUAUAUGGGAAUAAAGUAUUCCACGUGUGGAAUUUUGUAUGUACCAUAUGAAUAAGGAUCGGCUAACUCCGUGCCAGCAGCCGCGGUAAUACGGAGGAUCCGAGCGUUAUCCGGAUUUAUUGGGUUUAAAGGGAGCGUAGGUGGAUUGUUAAGUCAGUUGUGAAAGUUUGCGGCUCAACCGUAAAAUUGCAGUUGAAACUGGGAGUCUUGAGUACAGUAGAGGUGGGCGGAAUUCGUGGUGUAGCGGUGAAAUGCUUAGAUAUCACGAAGAACUCCGAUUGCGAAGGCAGCUCACUAGACUGUUACUGACACUGAUGCUCGAAAGUGUGGGUAUCAAACAGGAUUAGAUACCCUGGUAGUCCACACAGUAAACGAUGAAUACUCGCUGUUUGCGAUAUACAGUAAGCGGCCAAG